GAGCACGUAGGUGGGUUUGUAAGUCAGACGUGAAAGCCUUCUGUUCAACGGAAGAAUUGCAUCUGAAACUACAAACCUUGAGUGUAGGAGGGGAGAAUGGAACUUCUGGUGGAGCGGUGAAAUGCGUAGAUAUCAGAAGGAACGCCGGCGGCGAAAGCGAUUCUCUGGCCUAUUACUGACACUCAGUGUGCGAAAGCUAGGGGAGCAAGCGGGAUUAGAUACCCCGGUAGUCCUAGCCGUAAACGAUGGGCACUAAGUAGAGGGAAUUACCGAUGUUCUCUCUGCCGUAGCUAACGCAUUAAGUGCCCCGCCUGGGGAGUACGGCCGCAAGGCUAAAACUCAAAAGAAUUGACGGGGGCUCGCACAAGCGGUGGAGCAUGUGGCUUAAUUCGAUGCAACGCGAAAAACCUUACCGGGGCUUGACAUGGUAGAAGUAGGAACCCGAAAGGGUAACGAACGGUAUCCAGUCCGUGACUAUCACAGGUGUUGCAUGGCUGUCGUCAGCUCGUGUCGUGAGACGUUGGGUUAAGUCCCCUAACGAGCGAAACCCUUGUUUUUAGUUGCCAGCGGGUUGUGCCGGGCACUCUAGAAAGACUGCCGUCGUCAAGACGGAGGAAGGUGGGGAUGACGUCAAGUCAUCAUGGCCCUUAUGCCCCGGGCUGCACACGUGCUACAAUGGCCGGUACAAACGGAAGCGAAGCCGAGAGGUGAAGCGAAUCC
rnacentral:rRNA from 1 species